AGCCGGUGCUUAUUCCUGAGUUAAUGUCAGAAUUUCAUCACUCAGAAAAGGAGUUUACGCCCCGAAGGGUGUCGUCCUCCACGCGGUGUCGCUCCGUCAGACUUUCGUCCAUUGCGGAAGAUUCCCU
rnacentral:rRNA from 1 species